rnacentral:ncRNA from 1 species
GUAAGUCUGCCGCCGGGCAGAAGAUGAAUCAGGCGUUCAAUUUCACAUCUUUAGGCCUUAGUAGAUGUGAAAAACUGAACGCUUUUUUUAU